CCCAUAUCUUGGGACCCCCCCCCCAUAUCGUCAGCUCCUCCCCCAUCGGGGCCGUCGGGACCUUCGUCUUUCCGUUCCCUCUCCCUCUCCCUCUCCCGUUUCCUCUCUCGGGAUCGGCUGCGCCGUUUCCGGUCCCGUUCCUUGCUCCGUUCCCGGCUGCCUCCCCUUUUGCUCCUCUCCCUCUCGUCCUUCUCCCUGCUGCGGGUGCGACGCCGGCGCUCUCGGGAUCGGGAUCUCCUGCGCUCGCGGUCCCGGGAUCGGUCGCGACGGUCGCGUUCCCGUUCGCGUUCCCGGUCGCGCUCAUCGUAUCGGGACGUGUCGUCGCGCCCCGAGUGCCGGAUGUUGACGUCGGCUCCGCCGCGGCGCGUGCCGCCCAAUCCGCCCCCGAGGCGCCGGGGGCGCCACCCUUUGACGGUGCGGCCGCGCUCCACGUCCACCAACACCCGGCGGCCGUCGAUCUUUUUGCCAUCGGCGUGUUUGUAGGCGGAGUGCAUGUCCCGCUCGUGUUCGUAUUCGAUGAAGGCGUAACCGCGGGGUUUGCCCGAGCGCUUGUUGUACACCAUGUAGAUC
rnacentral:lncRNA from 1 species